rnacentral:rRNA from 1 species
CAGCGCCGCGAGUGGCAAUCGUGUAUUUGGCCUAAAGCAUCCGUAGCCGGCGCUGUAAGUUUUCGGUUAAAUCUGUACGCUCAACGUACAGGCUGCCGGGAAUACUGCAGCGCUAGGGAGUGGGAGAGGUAGACGGUACUCGGUAGGAAGGGGUAAAAUCCUUUGAUCUAUUGAUGACCACCUGUGGCGAAGGCGGUCUACCAGAACACGUCCGACGGUGAGGGAUGAAAGCUGGGGGAGCAAACCGGAUUAGAGACCCGAGUAGUCC